AUUGAACGCUGGCGGUAGGCCUAACACAUGCAAGUCGAGCGCGCGGCGGACGGGUGAGUAUUAUCUCGGAAACUCCCCGAUGGAGAGGGAUAACUACUGGAAACGCUAGCUCAUAUAGCAUACCAUCGGGUGUGCCCCGAUGGGAUUAUCGAGUAGGUGGGGUAACGGCUCACCUCGGCGACGCUCCCUAGCUGGUCUGAGAGGAUGACCCGCCACACUGGAACUGAGACACGGGCCAGACUCCUACGGGAGGCAGCAGUGGGGAAUAUUGCACAAUGGGCGCAAGCCUGAUGCAGCCAUGCCGCGUGUAUGAAGAAGGCCUUCGGGUUGUAAAGUACUUUCAGCGGGGAGGCGUUACCCGCAGAAGAAGCACCGGCUAACUCCGUGCCAGCAGCCGCGGUAAUAC
rnacentral:rRNA from 1 species